rnacentral:rRNA from 1 species
AAAGUUUGACUUAAUUUUUUAUCUAAGAGAAUCAUCUUUUUUAUUCAUUGUGGUUGUAUUUGUUAAAGAAUUCAUUAUUGGUUUUAAAGUUAAGAGUACCGUGAGGGAAAGUUUAGUAUUAUAAUUUUUAAAAAAGAAGAAUUAAAGAUUCGUACCUUGUGUAUCAGGGUUAGACUAACUAUAUUUUAUAUAAAAUAAUCCCGAAUUUAAGUGAGUUAUAAAAAUUUAAAAGUAAUUGUGGUAUAACUUUUUUAAAUAUUUUUAUAGGAUGAAAAGUCAGGCGAACUUUUAUAUCUGGUUUCUCAAAAAAUAAAUUUAAUUUAGUUAACAAGGAGUUUUUUUUCAAUUUAAAAAAAUAAAUUUUUGUUAGUAAAGUUUUAGAGGGAUGAGCUUUUAAAACAAGUAUAUAUAAUGUUUAUAUUUUCUUUUUAAUGAAAUAAGGUUUAAUAAUGACCUAAAAUAAAAAGUUUGUUAUUAUUUACAUUGGUAAUUUUAAUAUUUAUUUUCAUUUAUGUGUUUAUUGAGAUAAAGAAGAUAAUAAUGCACUUCUUGAAAUACUGUCUAAAUUAGUAGAAGACUUUGUUUUUAUAAAUUUUUAUAUAAUUUUAUUCUAUGUUUUUAUGCUAGAUUUUUAUAAGGAACUCGGCAAAUAUCUUUCCGCAUGUUUAUCAAAAACAUCUCUUUUAGAAAAUUAAAAGUACCGCCUGCUCAAUGCUUAAGUAAAUAGCCGCAGUAUUUUGACUGUGCUAAGGUAGCAUAAUCAUUAGUCUCUUGAUUAGAGGCUGGUAUGAAUGGCGUGACGAGAAAGUAGCUGUCUCAUAAUAAGUAAUUGAAUUUCAUUUCUUAGUGAAAAAGCUAAGAUUGUUUUGAAGGACGAUCAGACCCUUUGGAGCUUUAUAAUUUCUUUUAGAUAUAUUUAUAUUAAAAAAUAAUUUAGUAGAAAUUAUUUCGUUGGGGCGACGAAGAGUUUAAAAGUAACACUCUUUUUAUUAAACAUAAAUAAAUGUAUAAUUGAUCCUUAAAGCAAGAUUAAAAGAUUAAGUUACCCUAGGGAUAACAGCGUAAUCUUUUUAGAGAGUUCAUAUCGAUAAAAAGGUUUGCGACCUCGAUGUUGGAUUAAGAAAUUAGCAAGGUGCAGAAGUUUUGCUGGAAAGUCUGUUCGACUUUUAAUUUCUUACAUGAUCUGAGUUCAAACCGGCGUAAGCCAGGUUGGUUUCUAUCCUCAAAAUUAAUAAAAUUUUCUUAGUACGAAAGGAUUGGAGAAUUAAGUAUUUCUUUAAAAAUAGAUUUAAACUAAAUAUUUAAAAAGAUUG